rnacentral:rRNA from 1 species
AUUGAACGCUGGCGGCAGGCUUAACACAUGCAAGUCGAACGAGUGGCGGACGGGUGAGUAAUGCUUGGGAAUCUAGCUUAUGGAGGGGGAUAACUACGGGAAACUGUAGCUAAUACCGCGUACCAUAGGCUGAGCCCAAGUGGGAUUAGGUAGUUGGUGAGGUAAAGGCUCACCAAGACGACGAUCCCUAGCUGGUCUGAGAGGAUGACCAGCCACACGGGAACUGAGACACGGCCCAGACUCCUACGGGAGGCAGCAGUGGGGAAUAUUGCACAAUGGGGGCAACCUGACGCAGCCAUGCCGCGUGUAUGAAGAAGGCCUUCGGGUUGUAAAGUACUUUCGGUAGCGAGGCGUUAACUACAGAAGAAGCACCGGCUAACUCCGUGCCAGCAGCCGCGGUAAUAC